UCUACGGGAGGCAGCAGUGGGGGAUAUUGCACAAUGGGGGAAACCCUGAUGCAGCGACGCCGCGUGUGGGAAGACGGUCCUCUGGAUUGUACACCACUGUCCCCAGGGACGAAGAUGACGGUACCUGGGGAGGAAGCUCCGGCUAACUACGUGCCAGCAGCCGCGGUAAUACGUAGGGAGCGCGCGUUGUCCGGAAUUACUGGGUGUAAAGGGAGCGUAGGCGGGACUGCAAGUUGGGUGUCAAAUCUACCGGCUCAACCGGUAGCCGCACUCAAAACUGCAGUUCUUGAGUGGAGUAGAGGCAGGCGGAAUUCCUAGUGUAGCGGUGAAAUGCGUAGAGAUUAGGAGGAACACCAGUGGCGAAGGCGGCCUGCUGGGCUUUUACUGACGCUGAGGCUCGAAAGUGUGGGGAGCAAACAGGAUUAGAUACCCGUGUAGUC
rnacentral:rRNA from 1 species